GGCGUUCACCCACACCACUCACCUCUCCUGAUUUCAUCUGAUUAAUGUGUAACCAAAGAAGUGAAAGGCAUUUCACAAUCUGCAUGUCUCGGCAAUUCGGAAAUUCCUUCAGCUUGGAAGUAAUCGCCAGCAAGGCUCCCUCCUCUCUGACAUAUUUAUUCUUCCUCUUCAGAUUCAAACCGUUCCAGAAGCAUCUUCAAAUUAUAUUUCAAACAAAGUGGGUAGAAUAAAAAGAUAGAAGCAGAAGCCACAGAGAAGAGCCCAAGGUUUACCAUUCUUGAGAUAUGGAUAUUUUCUCUAGCAAGAGCGAGGCCUGCAGUGCCUCAGCCCACAGCUAGACACUAACCACCAGCAAUUCUCCAUCACAAAGUUCAUUUAAAAUGGCCCAGCCAGCAGGCCCGUGAUCCCAGCACCAAGGACCGGAGCUCAAGGCCAGCCAGCAUGACACCAGACCCUGUCUCUAAAGAGCAAAUAAACACCAUCCAGCCGUAGAAAUUAUGUAACUUGAAUGGACUCUCACUGCGUGGUCUCACCGUGCGUGCAGCUGGACUAGAGCUUGCCGUGUGGGCCAGGCUGGACUUGAACUCGAAGAUCUACCCUCCUCUGCAAGAUUUAAAGGUGUGUGCUACCACACCUAGAGAUAACAUCUUUUAAGGGCUUUUCCUGGUGCCUGUUUUCAAGAAUACUUCGUUUUUAAAUAUGUUGACAGAUCAUAGCCCAGCGCUUGGGAGGCAAAGACAGAUCUCUAAAGAAAGAAAAAAACGAAAGGAAGGAAGGAAGGAAGGAAGGAAGGAAGGAAGGAAGGAAGGAAGGAAGGAAGGAAGAGAAAAAAGAAAGAAUCCUCCAAACAAAAUGGCUGUCUCUUCUUCACAUGCAUGCUGUGAGUUUUCACAAAGAUGACCACCAGAAUCUGCAAUACCAAUGAAGGCUGGUAUGAAUACCGUAUCUCUUACUCUUGAAGUUGGAUGCCCAGCCUCUCCCAGAAAUCAGGUCCCCGGCCCCUUACCACGUAUAUAAACUACUUGAUGUAGGGCGAUCAGUAGACGUAGCUGUGGGAUAAUUAAUGCGACACAGCAACGUGAAACCCGAGUUGUUAAAGUUUACAGCACUUCCCCUCACAGCACCGCUCCCGCCACUGUCCUUGCCUCGGCACACAGUAAAUCAUCUACCUAAAUGUAUUUGCACCCAAUCAUUUUUUAAAGUCACAAUCUUUGUAGUGUCAACUUGUCAAGGGUCAAAGGGAAGAACAGGCAAGAUUCCCAAAUCAAUCUGCUUGUAGAAACUGUCUCGUUUCAUUUCAGAUUACCUACUGUGCUGGACGCCGGGCAUGGACAAACUGCCGUCCUCCAUAAACCGUGACAGCACGGGUCGAACUUAUGCAAUCAUUCAUAAAGGGCCGAGUCAUGUCUCUUCUGUCAUUAACUACUUUUAAACGGCUCUGCAGGGGGAAGUGAUCUUGCAGGACAGCCACAGAUAUAAAUACUGUUUGGACAGUUUAAUGUCGAGAGACAACUCCUCUGGGAUUAAAACUGUGUAACCCAAUGAGAUGCCUGUCCACGCAAGGACUAAGGUGCUUUGGCAUUAUUACAGGAACCCAUACCUUUACAUAUGUUUUGUGCAAGAGAGCCAACGGCAAGCGGAACACCAUUUAUCUACCUUAUGCAACGACACAGUAUCCUGAAAUGUUAAAAAUAGCUUUAGCACUCAGAGUCUCGGCCGCUCCAGAAAGCGUUCUUCCACAGUUCACACCUUGUGAGGCCAAACAGAAAGUGAGGGCACACGAUGAUGUGAACCCUGGGCCCGCAGAACUCACUGGACUGUUAAAGACCUAAAGCUGUCCGUGGAAUCAGGGCAGCUGGAUAAAAGAACUGGUUUCCAAUAGGACUGAAAUGGUUGUCCCUCACCAUCUUGGCUCACCCAUGGUGGUCCGAAGUCACACCUAAAUCAACAGCUGAUGUUUACUGAACUCUUGGUGCACACUGAAUACCGUGUGAAGGGACUUACAUGUGUGACCUUGCCGAAACUCGUUUCCUAAUGGGGAAUCUGUUGUAAUCUCAGUUUAAAGGUAGGAAGGCUGUGAAUCAGAGCAGACAUGGAUGUGCCUCAGUGGAACUAAUUUUGUGUGAACUGGGGAAGUCACCUAUGAUGCUAUGCUGCCUCCAUCACCACCUACCCCCUGGAAGGAAUUUUGUUGCCUGACAUAUGCAGUAUUACACAGUUUAAAUGCAGUGUCUCCGCUUUCGUUAACAUUCAUGCUAUGUGCAAAAUCCUUCCGGAUCACUAAAAAGGGAAGUGUUGCUUAGUUACGAGGAGGCACACUGAGUCGAAUCAAGUGGAUGUAAGACUCCCUCUAUGGGAACAUGAAGACUUUCCAGAGGGUACGUGGGCACGGAACUUUUAAGGAAAUCAAUUUCAAAAUACUCAGUGUCCGUAUGUUUUCUCUCCUAAAAUUAAUCAUGCUGAGAAAAUAUGCUAAUCUACACUUUCUACCCCAAAUCACAACAGAUGUUUCCCAACCUACUUCAAAAGAAACACCUCCCCCACGCACACAUACCAACGCUUAUCCUACCAGGAAGGUGAGAGCCUUCACCUUUCCAAAUUUCCUCACCAGUCUAUCCCUAAAAGAGACGUGUGUCAGUCAAAAAUCAGUGUAAAACUCAUCUAUCAGAUAUAAAGGAUCUGUGAUGUUCGGAUCAGCUUCUGAUGACAGCUCAGUGUGGAAGGAAGUUGUCGACCUUCAGAACCUUGAUUUAGUGUAAAAUGCAUGUGGACACAGCUGCACAGCAGAAAAGGAGUAAGGACAACCAGCAUAGGACAAGCUGCCUUAGGAAAAGGGACAAAGAGAAUGGAGAUGAAAUUUCAAAGGAAAAAAGAAAAAAAAAGGGUGUGAGCAUUUUUUUUAAUUCUUCAUUUGAAUAUUAUGUGCAUGGGUAUUUUGCCUGCAAGCAUGUCUGUGUGGGUUGUCAGAUCUUAGAGUUUCAGACAGUUGUGAGCUGCCAUGUGGGGGCUGGGAAUUGAACUGGAGUCCUCUGAAAGAGCAGUCAGCUUUCAACCACUGAGCUAGCUCUCCAGCCCCCAGGUUUGAGCAUUUUUAAAUGGGUGCUGGUGAGCACAAAAUCACUGUGAAAUUCAUAUUCCUCUGCCUGCAUCCCAACCAGUUUCUCCUCUGUAGCACUGUGGACAUUUUGGGCUGUCUACACAUAGGCAAACACAUACACUCAUAUAUACAUGCAUGUACAUAGUGCGACCUCUAAAGACAUCCCAACAUAUGGCCCAGGGUGACGAGGAGAGAGUGCACUUAAAGAAGCAAUAUAAUACAAAAUAAGUCGGGUGUGGUAGCUCACGCCUUUAAUCCCAGCACUCGGCGAGGCAGAGGCAGGUGGGUCUCCAGGAGUUUGAGGCCAGCCUGGUCUACAGAUCAAGUCCAGGACAGCCAAGGCUACACAAAAAAAACAAGAGAGAGAGAGACAGACACACAGACAGAGAAAAUCAAGAAAAGAAGCAAUAUAAUGGAUUAUGUUUCAAUUUUUUAUUUUAAAUCUAUUCACAUUGAGCUUCCAAUCAAAAUUGUGCAAAAACAGUGCAUAUUUUUUUAAGUGUUAUCAUUGUGUGUACCCUUGAUGGGGGAAGGACAUUUGUGUGGAUGUUGGAGAACUUUCUCUUUUUUUACUUGUUGUAUUUGAUCUGUAUGAGUGUUUUGACUGGUUAUAUGUAUUUAAACCACGUGUGUACAGUAGCUGUGGAAGCCAGAGGAGAGUGUUGGAUUCCCAUGGAGCUGGAGUUACAGAUGGCUGUAAGCAGCCACGUGAGUGUAGGAAACUGAAUUCAGAUCCUCUAGGAGAACAGCAAGUGCCCUUCACCUAUGAGCCAUCUCUCCAGCCCCGUCAGAGGACAACUGUGUGGUGUCUGUCUCUCCAACUUUACCUUAGUUCCAGGGACUGAACUCAGGUACCAGGUCUGCAUGACCUUUACCGGAUGAGCCAUCUGCCCAAGAUGGAAUAUAUUUUCAGAAAAUUAUUCUUAGAAGUGUAUAGAGGGGCUAAAGAGAUGACUCAGCAGUUAAGAGCACUGCUUCUUUUCCAGAGUGGCUGGCUGUUCACAACUGUCUGUAAUUCCAGUUCCAGCGAAUCCCACACACUCUUCUGGCUUCCUAGGGAACCAGGCAUGCAAGUGGUGCUCAGACAUGCAUGCAGGCAAAACAUUCAUAUAUAUAAAAUUUGUGGUUGUUUUGGUGUUUCUUCUCUGUGUAGCAGCUCUGGCUGUCCUGGACCUCACUUUGUAGACCAGGCUGGCCUCAAACUCACUGCCUCCAAAGCGCUGGGAUAAAAGGCAUGUGCCACCUCAGAGAUUUUUUUUUAAUUAAAAAUAAUGAUUUUUGAGAAAGUAUAUGUGGGCAAAAAUGAUCCCAAUGCCACAGAAAGAGAGCCGAGGUCAGUACUGGGCGUGGUGAGGGCAGAUGGAAGAUCAAGGGAGGAUUCAAUGCUCCAUUUCCCCUGCCCCGUGAUUCGGGCUCCAAGCUGAUGUUUGGGAAGCCUGUUUGGUGUGUGAACAUGAGGCAGCGUGGAGCAGCCUGCAGCUUGGAAGCAGAGGCUUGCAGGUAUGGCACGGGCCAGACAACCUGCUUGGUUUGCAAACAACAUAGAUAGAACCUGGACUGUUGUGCUAAUCCUGACAUUUUAGGAUUUUUUUCUCUUUUUUUUCUGGUGUGGGCGUUUUGCCUGCAUGCCUGUCUCUGUAGUGUGUGGGUACCUGGAGCCUGUGAAGGCCAGAAGAGGUCUGUGGACCCCCUGGAACUGGAGCUAUUGAUGGAGCCACAAUAUAGGUGCUGGGAGUCUAAGCUGGGCCCUCCGGAAGAGCAACCAGUGCUCUUAACUGAUGAACCAUCCCUCCAACUCGGUAAUCUUACAGCCGUAUCUAUUUUUCUCUUUCUUCUUCUUCUUUUUUUUUUUUUUUUUUUUUUUCUUUUUCAUUUUUGAGACGGGUCCUACUUUAUAACCCAGGCUGUCCUCCAACUCAAAACAAUUCUUCUGCCUCAGCCCCAUGACUUACUUUUAAUGAUUCAAUCAAGCUUUCUCUCUCUCUCUCUCUCUCUCUCUCUCUCUCUCUCUCCCAUCUCCCCAAUUCACAAUGGCAAAAUUAAUAGUGCACACAGGCAAGACUGAGAAAAUGCUACUACUCAUAAUCUCAUAAACUAGAGAAACAGGGCCUUCUUGUACAUAUUCUUUUGAAACCCUACAUACUAAAAUUAGCAGUUCAUAGCUGGGUGUGGGGUACACACCUGUAAUCCAAGUACUCAGGAGACACAGGCAGGAAGAUCAGGAGUUCAAGGCCAGCCUAAGCUAUGCAAUAAGACCCUGUCUCAAGAAAACAAAACAAAACAAAAUUAAAAAGAGGCAUGUCAAGCCAGGGAUGGAGUAACAGCCUUGCCUACCAUGCUUCAGGCCCUGAGUUCAAUCCCCAACAUUAAAGAAUAAUUAAACAGGGACUAGAGAGAUGGCUCAGCAGUUAAAUACAGUGGCUGCUCUCCCAGAAGACCCAGGUUCAGUUCACAGCACCCACAUGGCUGCUCACAACCAGGGGAUACAAUGCCCUCUUCUGGCCUCUCUGGGCACUGCAUGUAAGCAUACAAGUAAGCAAAAUUCCCAUAAAAAAUUAAAAAUAUAUACAUUGUAAUUAAGUAAGUAAAAUAAAUAAAUAUACUGUUUCUAGAUUCAACUCUAAUUCUCCAAUACACAUUUAAGAUGCUUUAUAUUUUAACAGUAAUUACAAUAAUAAUGCCAUUCAGAUCUGGUAUCUCACCUUAGCUCACCCAGUUUUGGGUCCGCCAGUCUACCCAGCUGUGAAAGUGAGGUAGUGGGCCCUGGAAGCUGCCUGACCAAAGGGCUAAGUUCAGCGUUCUUCCAGGGACUACACCUUUUCGGAAACAAAAGCCAACGGUCUUCAGGUAUGAUAAGCACUGCUUUUGGAAGCACAGCCUUGAUGAAGACAGCUGCAUGCAUUUGAUGGACUUAGGAAGGGCCUGCUUGCCAAGGUCACAUUUGAUAGCUGAAUCCUUAAAACAAAGUCAAGGUUGGAUAGUCCAAACAAUCGAAUUUCUUAGUUUAGUUCAUGGCGUGAGUGAAUACGAGGCGACGCUGGCCUUCUGAAAACUGUGUUGGUCCAGGGACGGGCAGCACACAAGGCCGCCAAGACAGGAGGCAGCAUAGCAACGAGUGUAGUGCGGUCCAGUGGGAGCCAAAUCCUCAAAGGGCCCACAGGCCGCACAAGAGAAUGCCACCGUGGAGAUGGGAGACCUCCCUGCAGCCAGCCUGUGUGUAUUUAGUGGGGACCUCGGGGGAGUGUCUUGGGCUCUGGUGGUGCACACAGGCCGAAGAUUAUGGUGGAGAAGGAGAAGCCACUGCAGGCAGGUAUCACCUCCACGCCCACUUUCCUCAAGCACAAAGUAGGGGGAUCUUUUAGGGCAGCAUAUGAAAUAGAACAGUAUUUACAGCACAUGAGGUAUAAGAGUUCCAUCAAGUCUUAUUCAGGAAACCUGAGCAGGACCUACCCUUAUAAUACCAGCCCUUAUUGUGUGGAGAUAGGGAGGACCAGGAGCCCGUAUCCCAUACCAGUAGAUUUAAGACCAAGCCAGGCUACAUGAGACCCUAUCUCAAAGAAUAAGAACAAUAGGAGAUGCAGACCAGUUUGGUUGAAUGCUUGCCUAGGAGUAUGUAUAAAGCAGUGUGUAAAAUGCAAGUUUUUUUUUUUUUUCUGUGCCUGCCCUUGUUCUAAAUAAUGACAUGGAGACCUCUACAUUUUAUUAUAAGUGUCAGGCACUGCAGCUGGGCAGGCACGCAGCUAUUCUAACCUGAUAAUUCUGGCCUGGCUUACUUCCCAGCCACGUGGCCCAUUACCUGCCACUUAGCCACACCCUGGCACCCCCUUCUUCAUCUGUGCCUUAACGGUGACUCUCCCUCCUUCUGGUGCCCACCUGGGACCUUCUCCCUGGACUCAGAAGUUCCACCUUAUCUUCUCCUGCCCAGCUAUUGGCUGUUCAACUCUUUAUUUAACCAGUUGGAAGGUGAUGGAGAGCAAGGUUUACAACACACCAAGACAGGAGAUGCUUCAUAAUAAUGGCAAUGCCCGCCAACUGCAACCAGAGCUCUGUGCACAGAAAGCAGCAUCUGAAUACACAGUGCACAAAAACAUCCUCCAACAAUAGUGGGUUCAAUCCCCGGCACAUAAGUGGGAGGCGGUGACACACACCUGUAAUUCCAGCAAUGAGAAAGCACAGGCAGGAGGAUCAGAAGUUCAAGGUUAUCUUCAGCUACGUGGUGAGUUGCAGGAUAGCCUGAAAAACAUGAAGUGUGUGUGUGUGUGUGUGUGUGUGUGUGUGUCUUAUAUGUAGAAUCUUAAAAAAAAGGAUAAAGAACUAUUUACGCUGGGCAUGGUGGGACACGCCUCUAAUCCUUAUACUCAGGAAGGCUGAGGCAGGUUUAUUUUUGUGAGUUUGAGGCCAGAGAGGUCUACAAAAGGAAUCCAGGACAACCCAGGCUACACAGAGAAACCCUGUCUUAGAAUAAAUAAAAUAAAAUAAAAUAAAAUAAAAUAAAAUAAAAUAAAAAAGAAUAAGGAGAUAAAUGUGACUGAAGCACAUUGCAUGCAUGAACGGACCUUAAUAAAACCUGGCAUACCAUAAUGACCUGCUCCGGAAAUCCCAGCACCCAGGAAGCUGAUGGUAAAUUCAAGGCCAACCUGAGCUAUGACAGAGAGACCUGUCAAAAAUAAAUAAACAAAAAUAUAAAAUAUUGGGCUGGAGAAAUGGCUCAGAGAUUAACAGUACUGGCUGCUCUUCCACAGGUCCUGAGUUCAAUUCCCAGCAACUACAUGGUGGGUCAUAAUCAUCUAUAACGAGAUCUGACGCCUUCUUCUGGCAUGCAGGCAGAAUAAUGUACACAUAAAUAAAUAAAUCUUUAAACUAUAUAUAAAAUAUUAUAAUGAAACCCAUUAUUACAAAUGAUA